GAGCCAGAAAAAGAGUUUUCAGGUUUGAAGUUGUUUCCUUUGGUAUUGUUUAUCGUUGUAAUUUAUAAUUGAAUAUUUUGAAUUUGUUGUUUUAGUAAACCAAAUAUUUCAUCAUUUGUUGUUUUCAGUUCAUUUUCUACAAUACUUGCUCCAAUGCAAAUCAGUGACCUGACCUGAAUUAGAAAUCCAAACUGCUUUGUAACCCAAACCGACUCGAAAAACUGCGAAUCGAAACCAAACCAAACUGAAAUAACUUUUCAACCCCUUUGGGUUGAAUUCUUGAACCCAAACUGGUUGUAAUCUGAAUUGAAAACUGAAAACACCAACAAAAAACUGAAAUGUGUGACCCUAUUCAAGACUAUUGUAGUGUCCUAUAAGGUGAGGUUGAUUUCGAGCUCUCCUUGAAGGUAUGAUAUGCAAUCUGCUGUUUUUUUUUUAAUUCUACUGUCCUCUAUCAUUAUUUGUAAACAUGUUAAGAUUUUGGUUUAUGCUUAUUGUUCUGUAGUAAGCUCACCAAUGUGUAGUUUUUGAUACAAAUGAUAAAAGG
rnacentral:lncRNA from 1 species